AAGGUUUGCCAUGAAUUAUCUGAUGGGCAAUUUUGGAUGAUCUAUUUUGUUUUAUUGCUUCCAAGGUUGAAUGGGAAUGACCUGGAGCUGUUGUCAACUCCUGAGGCAAGUUUCUCUCUGAUAAGUUAAUAUGCUAAAUGGCGCUGUUUUGCCUGCAAUUCUUUUAUAAAUUUGUGAGCGGAAAGGAUAUUUUUAAUAUGAGAAAAAUUUGCAGUGCUGUAGAAUAAAAACUGUAUGCUCUAAAGUACUCUACUAGGUCGCAUAGCAUUUACAACAACAACAACAACAACAACCCAGUAUAAUCCCACUUAGUGGGGUUUGGGGAGGGUAGUAUGUACGCAGACCUUACCCCUACCCUUGGGUNNNNNNNNNNNNNNNNNNNNNNNNNNNNNNNNNNNNNNNNNNNNNNNNNNNNNNNNNNNNNNNNNNNNNNNNNNNNNNNNNNNNNNNNNNNNNNNNNNNNNNNNNNNNNNNNNNNNCGCAGACCUUACCCCUACCCUUGGGUAGAAAGGCUGUUUCCAAAUAGACCCCCGGCAUCCUUCCCUCCAAGAACUUCCCACCUUGCUCUUGGGGAAGCUCGAACUCAUAACCUCUCGGUUGGAAGUGGGGGUUGCUUACCAUCAGAGCAACCCCUCUUGUCCAAGGUCGCAUAGCAUUUACUGAACAAUAAAAUUGUCCAGUUCAUUGAUGCAAGUUGAAAUAAUUGCAUUGUUACUUUCUGUGAGAUCUUCUAAGUUAGGCUCUUUCUAUAAUAAGAGAAUGGAAGUUUACAUGGCCACUAGAUAAUAUUUAAUACCAUCUAAUAUCUAUUGACCUGAGACCUUGGGCAUGACGCCUAACUCAACCCCAAAAGCUAACUCAAGAGGUGAAGAUUGCCCUAGUCCAUAUAAGGAAACAAAUCACCAUUUCAGCCAUCGAUGUGGGACUCAAUACUCCUCCCGCACGCCCGAGACUGGACAUUUGGAGUAUGGACAAUAUAAGAUGGGGGCCAACAUCAGGUGAAAUAAGAGUUGUGUGGGCCCGACUCUGAUACCAUGAUAAAGAGAUAGACCUUGGGCCUAACUCAACCCCAAGAGGUGAAGAUUAACCAAGACCAUAUAAGGAAUCACAUCACCAUUCCACCCAUCGAUGUUGAACCAACAUAAGGUUGGUUCGUGUUUUGUUGAAGCCUGGUAUUGGGAAAGUGAUCUGAUUUUUGAAUUUACCUUGGCCAAAAAAGUGAGAGAUCUUUAAAUUGAUUAGACUGGAUGAGAACCUUUUUAUUUAUUUUUUAUGGGAUAUACUUUGUGUUUUUAUGACUAUGUUUACAAGUUGAAUCAAGCUGAAAGCUUCUUAGAAGAUUUCUGGCUCAAAUUUAGCCUGAGUGUUUCAGAUUCCAUAAGCUUUAGUUAAGCUAGUUAAGUGAAAAAUAUUGAAAGACACCAAAGAGGUGCUGCCCUGUACUGCUGCCAGUAUAGAAUUAAGAAAACCUGGUCAGUAUUCUUGAUUUAUCUGCAUACUAGCCUCAUUAUCCUAAAAACUCCUAAAUGCAACAAAGAAUAGAUUGCGGAGAAGUCAGGCUGAAUCUUUCUAGACUCAUUCAUGAUCCUCCUGCAUAUCCCCAAAUUCUUGAAGCCAGAAGCACCAGCAGGAGCUCCUCAUAUUAUGACAAAUGACAUAGUUGUACGCAUGGGUUGCUGUUCUGGGUCUACUUUCUGACCUAUAAGAGCAUUUGGUUAGAUCUCUGCUUCCAUUUCCUCAAUAGAUUGUGUAAUAAUUUUGUAAAGGAGGAGCGUGGUUGCAGAUAGGGGUAGGGUGUUGUGUACGAAUAAGUUCACUGUAAACUCAUGCAACAACCGUAUGAGCUUAUGGAAGAUGUAAUAUGGAAACAUACUGAUUGGCUUAUGAGCCUACUAUCCAGGCAGGUUGAGCAAUCAGCUUAGCUAGAGCUGGAUGCUGACUAACUCGCUCUAGUCCAAAACGAGGUAAUAUGAGGAGUUCAUGAAUAAUCCAGCUCCAUGUGAAAGCGCUACAGCGUACUUCACCAAUAUCUAGUUCUUUCCUUUCCAUUGAACUUAUAAGAAACACAUGCUGUUUGCUCUAUACUUGAUUAUGUUAAUGCAAGCUAGUAAUUUGAUGUUUUAUUGUUUUGGAAUUUUCUCAGUUCCUCAACCCUUGUUCUUUAAUAAAUUGUUCUAAACUUAUAGGGAUGAUUUUGACUCUUCAUUUUCCUUUUACAUGUGGCGUUUCGAUAGCCAAGCAGAGACUUAGAUCGAGAUAUCAAGCUGUCCUCGCAAGCUCAUUGACUAGCAUAGCAAUAUUGUCCUUAGGAGUUAAUCUACUGAUGUUUCUUGCAUUAUCAGUGAGGCCCAUUCUUUUGAUUCGGCAGAAGAGAUGUGGCAGAUGAAAGCAUAGGAUUGUAGUAUACUUUUUCCUCAUGUUUUCUUCGGAAUCAUUAAGCUGGAUGACUGUCAGUACUGCUCCAUUGAAUUAGGAAGAAGAAUGAACGAAAAGAGUAAAAGAUAAAUGAGAACGUGAAGUUGGUCCUCUAAUAUCAACCUUAUUUAAAAGUAUUUUUUUUCUACUAUCAUUCUCAUACCCUAGAGAAUUUGGAGAAAACCAAAGCACCCAAUGCCAUCGGAAGAUGUCGAUAGUUCUUGGAAUUGGUAAGAUACAGCAUUUUGCAGUCUGUACAAUUCAUGCCGAGGAAAGUGUACAAAGUGUAGCCUACUAAAGAGAAAAAAUCCAAGUCUCAACUUGGCAUUUGAGAUUGAGGGAAGAAUGACAUAUUCUACUACCUCUGAAAAGAGAGUUCAGUAAAUAAUAGUGUAGGCUUCAACUGGCUUGCUUGUGAUCUAAUCCUCAAAGCAUGCUCUUCCCUGUAUGGCUGUAUAUUCAUAGACUUUCUUAACCCAACAACUUUUCUUCCCUGAAAUGCCAAAGUUAUUCCCUGUAUGGUUGUUUUGGUUUACUUCUGGAUCUUUUUUUUUGGUUUGAUACAACAUAUAGCACAUGUAAUCUCAAAAUGGACUUAGGAUGAGAGAUGAUGUAAUCACUGGUUUUCAGGGGACUGUUUGGGAUGGGCUGUUGGGGUGCUGUUCAGGUGUGUUGUUCUAUUGGGGGAAUGUAGUCUAGUUCUUUUGGUCAUGUAUUUUUUAUUGCAGCCUCUGAACGGCUGUCCCAUCUCAUCUUGAUUUGGCUAUACUUGUAUGUAGCCAGCCAUGUUAGCUCCACACCCUUCGAUUCAUUGCAAUGAAAGACUAAAGCAAAAAGGAAGCUUUUGGUGGACACAAGCCCUCAGGACUUGACACUUGGACACCGGGAAGCUUGCCCCUUGAGAAUCGGUCCUCCGUUUGGAACUGCCCUGUUCCUUUCCGUCAGUUCUUUUGGUCAUUUCUGUUUAUGUAGUCAGUUCUUUUGCUCAUACCCCUUUUGCUUUCUUUCUUUCUAAUUCGUGCAUGUGGUUCUCUCUUUUCUCAACCUUUUUCUGAAUGAAAAUUUAUGAUGAUAUGAUCAAGCUUUUUCAAGUUAAUUUGACUUACUGUAGAUUGUUGAAGUAAGAGAGACGCUUCUGCAGCAGUUGCAAAGUAAGAAAACCCCACAGCCAAAGGCAUCUAAGGAGUCGGAGACUGUUGAUGAAUCUGAGAAGGAUGUCAAGGUCAGUGGACAGCAGCAAGGUUCUGAAAGUAAAUUGGAGGAGAAAACUAUUUCAGAGGAGACUGCAAAAGCUUCUCAAGAUAAAGACAGUUUGCACGGUGAGAAACCUCAACAGCAGUUAGAAGAUGAAAAGACCAAGACUACAACUUCAUUUGCUGACAAGGACGAGGAGGACGUUUCUUUCAGUGAUCUUGAGGAUGAUGAUACCGAUCUAUCAGAUAGACUGCUGCAAGGAAGCAAGCCUACACAUAGAAAGAAAGUUUCCUCAUCUAGUGAAUCUCAUGAAUGGAUUCAACUAAAUGAGAAUUCUAAAGUUCAGGGUAGUCAGCAGAAGGCUGGCCAAUCAAUUCACCGGGAUAAAGAUUCCGAAGGUGAGGAAUCGAAUGACUGGCUCACCGUUGAUGACAUUGAUUCAGACAGUGUGGCCACCAAUUGAUUCCUCUGAAAUCUGUAAAUGUUUCUUUUUAGUUCUCGUUUAUAAGUUCAUCACCUUGUAGAUUUUUAUGGGUGCCUAGGAAAAUAAGUUAAAGGAACUCCUCCCAUCCCCCACCCCCACNNNNNNNNNNNNNNNNNNNNNNNNNNNNNNNNNNNNNNNNNNNNNNNNNNNNNNNNNNNNNNNNNNNNNNNNNNNNNNNNNNNNNNNNNNNNNNNNNNNNNNNNNNNNNNNNNNNNNNNNNNNNNNNNNNNNNNNNNNNNNNNNNNNNNNNNNNNNNNNNNNNNNNNNNNNNNNNNNNNNNNNNNNNNNNNNNNNNNNNNNNNNNNNNNNNNNNNNNNNNNNNNNNNNNNNNNNNNNNNNNNNNNNNNNNNNNNNNNNNNNNNNNNNNNNNNNNNNNNNNNNNNNNNNNNNNNNNNNNNNNNNNNNNNNNNNNNNNNNNNNNNNNNNNNNNNNNNNNNNNNNNNNNNNNNNNNNNNCCCCCAAAAAAAAAAGGAAAAAGAAGAAAAAAAGAAACGGAGAGACCAGUUGACAUGUCAUAGCUGACCUCUUUGGCAUAAAUGGGCUGCUUGUUGGUUUGAUUCACUUGUUUGAUGUUGUAAAUGAUUUACUCCUAUUCUUUCAGAGUGCCUUUAUUUGUUUAGAUUAGUAUGUUGGAGUCAAUUACAAAAUGAAUAUUCAUGCAUUGCAAAAACAUCAGUUUAGAUGAGUCCUUUGCCGUGUUUGGAAAAGCGAUUUAAGCGCUUCGCGACCAUUCAUCGCUUUGCCCUGCCUGCGCAAAGGACCCUUUAAAAAAAGAAAAAAAAAAGACUGGGUCUGUUUUUAGAUUAGGCAAAACAUACCCACAAGCUCGCUUCAGUUAAUUGCUCGUGCUCGACAAAACAGACCCUUUCUUUCUUCUUCAUUGACAAAACCUAGGGUUUCUGCAGUCUAGGUAAUUUUCUUCUCCUUCCAUUUGUUUCUUUCUUUCUUGUUGUUCCCAUCCAAAUUCUCCUAUUUUUUCUUUCUUUUCCCUUGUUUCUUCCUUCUUCCUUUUUCCUUCUUUCUUCCAUUAUUUAUAUAUGUUAUAUUUUUCAGUUUUUAUUUUUAUUUUUUUAGUGUAUAUUUCAGUAUGUAAAACUAAUUAUAUAUAUANNNNNNNNNNNNNNNNNNNNNNNNNNNNNNNNNNNNNNNNNNNNNNNNNNNNNNNNNNNNNNNNNNNNNNNNNNNNNNNNNNNNNNNNNNNNNNNNNNNNNNNNNNNNNNNNNNNNNNNNNNNNNNNNNNNNNNNNNNNNNNNNNNNNNNNNNNNNNNNNNNNNNNNNNNNNNNNNNNNNNNNNNNNNNNNNNNNNNNNNNNNNNNNNNNNNNNNNNNNNNNNNNNNNNNNNNNNNNNNNNNNNNNNNNNNNNNNNNNNNNNNNNNNNNNNNNNNNNNNNNNNNNNNNNNNNNNNNNNNNNNNNNNNNNNNNNNNNNNNNNNNNNNNNNNNNNNNNNNNNNNNNNNNNNNNNNNNNNNNNNNNNNNNNNNNNNNNNNNCAUUGUGUGUGUGUGUGUGUGUGUGUGUGUGUGUGUGUGUGUGUGUUAUAUUUUAGUUAUUUGAUUUUCUUUAUGUUAUUUCAAUUUAUAAAAUUAAUUAUUAUAUAUAUUAUACUCCCUCCAUUUCAAUUUAUGUAAACUUAUUUCCUUUUUAGUCUGUGUCAAAAAGAAUGACAUAUUUCCCUAUUUGAAAAUAUGUAUUGAUUUAUAGCCACACAAAAUAUAUGUGCUUCAUUUUACACCACAAAUUCAAAUGUCUUCUAUCUUAUUAAACUCGUGCCCAGUCAAAUGGGUUCACAUAAAUUAAAACGGAGGGAGUAUGUAUUUUCAGUUUAUUUGAUUAUGUAUUUUCUUAUAUCUUAAUAGGGAUUUCAAAAUCUAUCAAAACUCGAAAGAGAAAGAUCCGGCUUGGCGAUAUGGCAAUAGAGUUAAUGAGAAGAAUACAAAUGUUGUAAGCAAGUUUUGUAACAAGAUUAUAACGGGUGGAAUUUAUCGCUUUAAAUUUCAUCUUAUUGGUGGUAAUAGAAACAUCAGAAGUUGUACGAAAUGCCCAUCGCCCAUCGGAGGUGAGGGAUGAAAUAAAAACUUUUGUUGAGAAGAAGGAGCAGAAAAAUCAAAUGAGUCAUCAACCAUUGGUGACCAAUCUUGAGGAUGAUGGUGAUGAUGAUAUGGAAGAAUUGUUACUUCCAAAAAAACGGGGAAGAGAUGCAAUCAAUUUAAGUCAUGGAUCAUCGACGGGUACGGGCAGGACUAAAGGUCCUAUAGAUUGUUAUUUCCCAAAGAAGCCGGAAGCAAAGAGAGGUGGAAAAGAUGUACAAAAAAUUGCUAAGGACAUUUUGAGGGAUCGUGCAGUUAGAGCUUUUGUACGACGGGUCUAUGAUGCUGGACUCCCAUUCAAUUAUAUCAACUAUGACACUUUUAGAGACUUUAUUGAGACCGUUGGUCAAUAUGAAUCUGGAAUGAAGUUUUUCACUUAUCAUGAAAUCAGAGGUCCUUAUCUAAAUAAGGAAGUGGAGGAGACUAAUAAAAUUGUUGAGGAGCAUAAAAUUGUGUGGAACAAGUAUGGCUGCUCCAUUAUGAUAGAUAAGUGGACGGCAAGAACCGAAAAAAUAAUUAUCAACGUGUUGGUGAAUUCUCUCAAAGGAAGUUUAUUUCUUGAGUCCAUUGAUGCUAGCGACUCAUCUACUGACCACAUCAAAAUGUUCACCUUGUUUCAAAACACCAUUGAAAAGAUUGACGCAAGUAAAGUUGGUCAAGUGGUUACUGAUUAUGCGAGUAAAAAUGUGAAAGCGGGUGGCAUGAUUGAAAGAGCAUACAAGAAUGUCUUGGACUCCAUGUGCGGCUCAUUGUAUCAACUUAAUGUUCGGGAAAUUUUCAAGAAAAAACCCUUCUCUACAAUUUUUGACCAGGGCGUUAGGGUGCAUUCCUAUAUUUCUCAGUGGCCAUUGUUAUUGAAUAUUAUGAGAUGAUUCACCAGACAAAAAUAUUUGGUGAAAUCGGGAAAGACAAAGUUCGCCAUUGCUUUCUUGACUUUGUAUAAUAUCCACUUGUAAAAAGCCAAUUUGAGAAAGUUGUUCACUUCAAAAGAAUGAAACAAGAGUAAAUUUUCAAAUAAAAGUGCGGGAAAAGAUGUUGCUUGCAUUAUUCUUUCUUAUUCUUUUUGGAAUAAUAUCCUUCAUGCUCUUAAAAUUUGUGGCCCUUUGGCUAAAGUACUUCGUUUGGUGGAUGGGAAGCAAAAACCACCAAUGGGCUACCACUAUGAAGCUAUGGAUAGGGCCAAAGAGGCUAUUCAAGCAUCAUUCAUUGAUGAACAGAAAUAUGCAAAGGUCUUUAAGAUCAUUGAUGCAAGAUGGAAUGAGCAACUUUAUAGACCUUUUCAUGCAGCUGAACUUAUUCUGAACCCGUCACUCUUUUAUGAUCAGUACAAGAAUAAUUCAUUGGCUAGAGAAGUGUGGACAUGAUUCCACGAGGUUGUUAUCAAGUUGACCCCAGAUGAAGACUUGCAAGAAAAGAUAGUAGAUCAGCUUGAUAUUUACAAGGCAACUGAAGGACUUUUUAAGCUCCGACCGGCUAUUAAACAAAGAAAGACGAAGUCGCCAGGUGACUAAGUAUUUCUAUAAUUUUUUGCUCUAACUUUAAUGUAUUUUUUAUACUUAGUUACUUUUGAACAUUUUUUUUGAUUUCUAUAGCUGAGUGGUGGGACCAAUAUGGUAUAGAGACUCCGAAGUUACAGACUUUUGACAUCAAAGUUCUAAGUUUGACUUGUAGCUCAUCCGAAUGUGAAAGAAACUUGAGCAUUUUUUAACACGUACCAAAUAAAAAGAAUCAUCUCGUAUUUUGAGAUAAAGCAAAUUAUAUCUCAAUUGUCUCAACUCCUACUAAUUAGUUGACACAUCUUUUUUGCAGAUUCAUACAAAGAAGAGAAUCAACUAACACUGAGGUGCCACUACAACCACCGCAAUCUAAUUGAUUUAAUUAUUUUGGAUAAUAAAAUAUUGAUGAGGCUAAUGAGUGGCUGACCAAAGUCUCCAAAAAUUGUAAAGAUGAAGAAGUAUAUGAAGGCGACUCUAAUUUCACUUGGUGUGAUAUUGCGGUUGGUAGUCAAUUUGGGGAGAAUCCUCAUGGUUUAAGGGGAAUACUUCAAGUUCAAGCUUGAUUAAGAAGGAAAAAAUUGUAGCUAAUACAAGUCGAUCCCUAUUCCUAAUUGAUGAAGAUAAAAGUGAUCAUGAAGAGGAAGAGGAGGGGGAAGAAGAAGAUAACGAGCAAUAUGAAGAUAAUAGAGGAAUUCAAUAUUUUGACAAUCUUGAAGAAGAACAAGAAGAGUAGAAGAUAAGAUGUUGAUUCUAGUCAUUUAGUAGCUUUGAUUUUGUUUGUCAUAUGGUUUGUGGAGGACUGGUGGUACAUAGUACCUACUUUUAAGUUUUUAAAUUGAAGUUUUUGAUUAUUUAUAAUUUUAUAUUACGUCAUUGCAGGGUCUAUAUCAUAUUUUUUAAGAAUUGUGCUUCACUUUAAUAAAGCCUUCGCUUCGCUUUUGAAGCGAGGCGAGCCUUUGUCACUUUUUUGCGCUUCUCGCUCUUAAAAAUACCGGUCAUUUGCCAACUCUAUUAAGACGAGGCGUUUUCAGUUAUUGUACCAUAUGAUUAAAGGGAGUUUGUGCUUUUCUUAGAAUCUUGAUGGAGGAAAACAAAAAAAGGAAACGAUGGAAAACUCUUAGAUUUUCCUUCUCUUGCUGGAGUUGUCUGUUGGGUAAACAACAAUAAUAAGUUCAGUGAUUUCACACAUGAGAUCUGAAAAGAAUAAUGUAUACAGACCUUACUCCUGUCUUAAAAAGAUAAGUCAUGUUUUUCAACAGACUCUCGGCUCAAGAAAUUUAUUGAGUAAACGAGCAAAGAAAAACUAAAAAACAACUAAUUUCCUUUUAUAUCCACAUAUAUUGUAACACCCCGUAAAUUUGAAUCAGUUAUGGAUGUAUUAAAUGAGUAUUAAUGUGAUGGUUAUCAACUGGAUAUGAUAAUAAGUGUACGAGGCAUAUCAUAAGGGAUUUGGGGUUCAAGGAGACACGUAAGUCUAAGCCAAGUUGGAAAAUUACACGAUAGACUAAAAUUCCAAAUGAGUACUCACAAGAUUACACUUUGGACGAGCAUACCUACAGAUAUAUAAGGUAUUAUGUACUGUACAACCUAUAAAAUGAAAGAUCUUUGAGUCUAGUUUCUAACGCUUUAGACCGUUCGCCAUUUAGACACUCCUACCAGAAGUUAUAAUGAAAUUACCAUAAGCUCGCAUAAUAUUACACUACUGCGCCGCCCCAUGCGGCGCGGCUGCGUAGAUUAUCAGAGAACCUCCAAAUUUCGUUCCUAGACACAUAUUUGAUUACCACGCCGCCCCACGCGGCAUCCCCAUACGCCACGGCUAGCAAAUCUUGAUUUUUUUUCAACCCGAACCUAUCUUGAUAUAAAACCUUCGGAGGUUAUUUUUUCACUUCAUUUGGACGAAUUUUAGGGUUUUCCUUCACUCUCUAAAGACCCCCAACCCCUCCCAUAUUCAAGGUAAGCAUUCCCCAUUAUCUUAGUGUGAAUUAUAUAAUUGAAAUCUAUGCAUGAAAUACUUAGAUCUUCAAGAGAUUUCUUCAAGAACUCAAAGGAAGGUUUGCAAGAGUUCUUCCAAAAAGAUUGAAGGUUCUUAGUUCAUUGUAGUAUCACUAAGGGGCGAAACUAAGGUAUGCAAGGCUAACUUUUUACGUUUGAGAAUAUCUAUGAUUCUCCCUACGUCCCAUUCAUCAUGACUAUUACUAGUUUUCACAUAAAGUAAUUAUGCCUUGGUUCCAUGAAUAGUAGUAGAUAUUCACUAGAUGGCAUAGUUUCAUAAUCAUUCGAUAUUCUAUGAGUUUCAGUUAUGACAAAUCAACUUAUUAUGAAUGCUCAUCUCAGUCUAAUCCUAUUCACUAUUCUAGUAUCAUGUAACCCGAUAUGGCUCAUUGUUUCAGUAUCAUGUAUUGUAAAAUGAUUCUAAGUUCUUGAUUUUAUAUUCUUGAAUGUUGAACACCUGUAUUUGGGCCUGAGGAUGCAACUUAUGCUUUGAUCUAAUCCUAUUCAUGAUUCCAAUAUUAUGUAACUCGGUAUGGUUCAUUAUUUCAGUAUUACUCUAAGUUCCUGAUUCUAAAUUUUUGAAUGUUGAACUUUUGUGUUUGGGCCUAAGACUGUAGUUUUUGCUUUAUGCAUCAUUAGAGAAUUUGUCCGCACUUUGCGCGGUUGUAAUAGAUAUGAUAAAAUAUAAAAUAAACAUGUGAUUCUUAGUUUAGUUAUAUAUAUAUAUAUAUAUAUAUAUAUAUAUAUAUAUAUAUAUUAAAAAAUGAAUAUAUUAUAUAUAUAUAUAUAUAUAUAUAUAUAUAUAUAUAUAUAUUAAAACAUGAAUAUAUUAUAUGCAUUUGAUUUGUUCUUUUCACUAAAUGGUAAAACAUUUAAAGAAAAUUUCUCUAUUAUUUUUUUGCUAUUCUUCUUUUUCUCGCCUUUUCAAUUGCCUAAUCUCUCUACUAUUUUUUCUUUCCUUUUUCUCUCUAUUCCUAUCUUAUACUGCGCCUACAAAUUAUUUUUCUUUUCUUUUCUUUUUAUUUCUUUUCCCUACAAUUGCUCUUUCAAUUUACCUCAUUGAAUUUAACAUUUUGGCAAUCCACCAUUCAAAAAUAGUUAAAAUGGGAAGAAUUUUUUUUACCACAUCAAAUUUAAUUAUUGGAGUUGCUAUAUAUACAAAACCUUAAAUAAGAGAAUUGAAAAUAAUUAAAUUGCUACACUUCUAAUUGGGCAGAUAAGAGAAAAAUGCCAACAAAAGAGAUGAAAAAUAAUUGGUCAUUUUAGUUCCGGAGAAGUGUCACGUUAUAUCUCUAUAAGUUAGAUAUAAUUCGUAUUCUUCAUAUAAUGACCAAUAAUAUAUUAGUAAAAUCCAGCAACAUAUAAGAACUUCUAUGCCAUAUAUUUUCUAAUAUCCAAAAAAAAAAACAAAUCAAAACAAUGCUUGUAACACCAGAGUCCCCAUUGUGACACCAUGAUCCAUAUACACACACAAAAACAAAACAAUAAAAGUGCCUGGAAAUAGAAGUUGCAUACAAACUACAAAAGUAAUGAAAAUUUAUAGAAAAGCUUGCCAAAAUUGCUUGCCAAAUUUCUUCACCAGCUCUCUCAAAAUUGAUAGAAAGAUAUUUUAGCAUCAUCGUCUUCUUCACCUUGGUCUACUCUAUAUACAUAAACAUAGUCUGAUGUAUAUAAGCGUAGAUGAAUAAGCCUUUGCAAAAAUAUGUGGUUUACCUCUAUUUUAACAACAUGUAAUGUGAAAUAUACUAUUAAGACGAAAAAGAAUUUGAAUCACUAACCAUGUAGUUCAAAAAAAUCAGAGACCAUAAUUGGAAAGUGGAUGGUCAAGUAGAUCAUUGAAAAGAUAAAAAUAUAAAUUACAAAUUAAAUGCAAUUUAAUACUAAUAACUGUAUAAUUACUUGUAAUAACGAUUGGAAAAAAAUGAAACGAAGAGCUUUCAUUGGAUUUGUGAAGCAAAAUAAGAGGAAUAGGCAAGAGCCAUUUCGGAUUAUACUCACUUACCAACUUUAUUUUCUUACAAACAUUAUGAAUCAGACCUUAUCUAGUCAACACUUCCUUAACCCUCUUCCCUACUUUCUCCCUCCGUUCAUCUAAACCUGCACAUGGCCUCGAGAGCAUCUGAUCCUCUUGUCUUUCACCAUAGCAUAGAACCACCAGAUAUUGGCUCUAUACAAAUAGAUGACCAACUAAAUACUACAAAACCUACUUCUUUCGUUCAAACACUUUUGUUAGAUAAGCACCUAGCACCCACACUGGCUACACACCAACCUCUUACCCCUUCUAUCUCUUUAACAGAUGAAACAGAAGACCUCACUGACAACGAAGAAAUAUUUCUUCCAAUCACGGCGUUGGAUAAAAGUCGUUUAUACGAACCUUGGAAGUUCUCGAUUAUAGUUAAAUUAUUUGGAAGAAGGAUUGCUCAUCACAUCUUAAAAAAUAAACUGGUCGAUCUUUGGAAGCCUACAGAGGAUCUACCACUUAUUGAUUUGGGCUCGGAUUUCUUCCUUAUAAAAUUUCAACAAGAAGAGAAACUGAUAAAAGCUCUUCAUGGAGGUCCUUGGUUUGUCCUCAACCACUUUUUAUCAGUACGUCGCUGGGAGCCAAAGUUUGUUGCCUCUACUACACAACUUACAUAUUCAUCUAUAUAGGCAAGGCUACCUGAGUUGCCAGCGGAGUUUUAUGAUUUGGACAUACUCAAGAGGGUUGGAUCGAAACUGGGAAAACUCCUUAAGGUGGAUUCAUGCACAUCUUCAGCAACAAGGGGGAGAUAUGCUCGAAUUUGCAUCGAGAUACCUCUGGAAAAACCUCUCAAGACUCGUGUGAAUAUUGGACACCAUAAACAAAAUAUCCAAUAUGAGGGACUCAACAUACUAUGUACUAAUUGUGGAUGUUUUGGACAUGGGAAGAAUCUCUGCUACGAGAUGGUGGCUUCACAGUUGGAAGGAAGCUCAUCCUCAAAACAGCCUAUGGUAGCCACAACAAACAAACAAGAAUGGUGUAUUGUGGAUUUCCCUAAACGACCUAAUCGCAAGCUCAACCACUCUACACCCUCCAUAAACAAAGGGGUGGUAGCAGCUCCAUCUUCCUCCAAGGGAGAUGUGCCAGGUAAGUAUAUUUCAAUUACACAAUCUUUGGGCUGGCCCAAACAUGUAACGUCCGCUCCUAGUAUAGAAAGCUUAAACAGCUUUGGGUGGUUAGCCCAUAUGGAAACUAAUUUAGAAGACCCUUCCCAAGUAACUACUUGUUCAAAUAACGGCACCCUCGCAUUGGCCACCCCAUCUUUGUCACCUCCUCUAGCAAAUCCACGUGAAGACUCAAAUAAAUUUACCAUUACCCAAGACAAAUUACUGGCUACAAAAGGUAAAACACCUACUAUUUCACAGCUGCCAAACCCCUUCCUAAUGAGAUGCCACAUAGACAUAAUCCAUAUCACAGUGAUCCUGCUGUGAAUUUAAACCAAUCAGCCAUGCACAACUCUUUAUCCAGUCUACCCUUUGGUGACACGUCCUUAAUCCACAUAAACCUAGGAUAUCCCAAGUUGCAUGCUCAAGGGCAAGCAGCCGGUACGUAUAGCCAUAUUAAACCUACUAACCCCAAGCCUAAUGAUGACAUUGCAUGUGAAGAACACCUUAGUUACACUCCACCUCUACCAUUAUUGGCACCUAUCAAUUCGCCUGCAAAUACUCAAAUACCUCUGGUUUAAACAAUACCAUCUACACUGCUAUACAACAUGCAACGACCUUCCCUCUCAAACCUUCCUCACUACACGACCAUGCCAGAGAAUACACAGAUGAACAACCAACUAUUUCAUCUACCAAGGUUGAUCAUGAAGGUCCUCAAUUACCCCACAUCUCUUCUCCGAUGGUCUACACAUAUCAGAUCAUCUCCAACGAUCUCCCUCUGAAAUCCUGGUUGGAAAUGGGGUUACAAGGAUAUGAUCUAACAUUCACCUUGGAACUGAAUGUUCAAGAGGUGGUCCUCCUAAUUCAGAACCCCUCCCACUUAGCAGAAAUUGUAACAGAGGGUAUGAGACUGGGGAUUGAAGCCUACAUGCAGAACAACUGGCUAACCACUCACACUCCAUUGCCUUUGGAGAGCCACUCACUACCCCCAAACCACCACUGGAGCUAUCCAGUGAACCCAUCCAAUCUGCAUGCGAACCCAGUCGUGAACCUGAUGCCCUUUUACCCUCCUCACCACAUGGGGCAGGUUUACUCCCAUUGGUUCCAAUCCCUCCGCUCAUUCAACCCCCUCUCACCAUAUGUCAGUUCACUAAGCCCAAUGGACAACUUCGACCUAAUGGACUCUCCACCUCACGCACCCCAUCAAUCACCACAUGAACUAGACAGUCCAACUAGGCAGGAGCUAGCAAAAAUCUUAGCAGAAAUGCGGGAAACAGGAACGGAGUUUUGGUGGCUAAAGAGGAUCCUUAUGUACGACCUAAAGGAGCAAUACGUAAAGAAGUUUGUUCUAAAAUGUCCACUAGAUCUAGUAAGUUGCAGUCUCAACCUUCGUCAGCCCCAGAACCCAUUGGUAGGGAAGUUUUCAAUGGUGAUCAUUCGAACAAUAAGGCAGCCAGUGACCCCGGAGCAGGCAACAACAUUGGCCUCUGCCACAUUACCAACUCCAGUGGGACACCUUUACAAUCCUAACUCUUUUAUGAAUUUUCUCCUUUGGAACUGUAGGGGAUCCCACAAUCUGGAAUUUCGAAGGCAUUUUAGAUCUCUACUAGACAACCAUAGGCCAGUCCUUGUUAUUCUAAAGGAAACCCACAUGACAGACCACUCUAGGUUAAGAGAUGAUUUUAACUUCACUCAUAUGGCACAAGUUCCUGUGAAUGGACUUCUAGGGGGUAUUGUGGUUCUUUGGAGGGAGGAAAAUAUAAAGCUGACUGAAAUUAGCCUAUCUGACCAUGAGAUACAUUGCAUGGUCCAGGUAGGUAAUUCUAACUCUCCAUGGUUAUUAUCUGCUAUUUAUGCUUUUAAUAAUUUUGCUGCUAAGUCACUACUUUGGGAUAGUUUAAAAAACUUGCAUUUUAUAACAUGCCAUGGUUAUUAGGAGGAGAUUUCAACGAAAUUUUUAGCUGUCGAGAAAAGUUUGGUGGUUUACCGAUUAGUAAUAAUAGAGUAAAUAGAUUUGUUUCUUGUCUAAAUUACUGCAAAUUGGUAGACCUAGGCUUCCAUGGUAGUAGAUUUACUUGGACAAACAAGUGUAAAACAGGUUAUACAAUUUUAGAAAGACUUGAUCGUUUUUUAGCUAAUUACGACUGGCUUAAUAUGUAUCCUGAAUCAAGGGUACAACAUCUUCCACGUACUCAUUCUGAUCAUUGCCCGCUUUUAAUAACUCUUCAACCCUCUGUUAGAAUAAUUAGUAAGAUUUUUCUAUUUGAAACAAUGUGGACUUAUCACCCUGAAUUUCAUAAUUUAGUUCGCAAUAUUUGGUCAGGAGAGUAUACCUUACCUCAGACCACAAAAAUUUUCCAAACAGCUGCCACUAGGUGGAAUAAGCAGUGCUUUGGGAAUAUUUUUCAACAGAAAAAUAAUAUCCCAGCGAGGUUAAAAGGUAUCCAAGCCUCCAUGUAUUACCCUACAAGUAGGUUUUUACAAGAUUUGGAAAUAGAGCUUACCAUUCAAUAUAAUAAAAUAUUAUUUUUAGAGGAAGACUUUUGGAAAUUAAAAUCGCGUGUGAAUUUCUUGAAUCAAGGUGAUGCCAACGCUAAAUUUUUUCAUAUGUCUACUCUGCAUAGGCGUAGAAAAAAUAAGGUUUUCAGUUUAAGGGAUUUGGUAGGGAAUUGGAUUUCACUCCUAGAGGCCUUAGAAGAGCACAUCACCUCUUUCUAUAUGAAGCUUUUCACUACGGAGCAAGUAAGCUCUAUCAAUACUUACCAGGAAAAUUCCCACAUUAGUUUCUCAAUAGAGGAUCAUUACCUCUUGAAUAAACCUGUUUCAACUCAAGAAAUAAAGGAUGCUUUAUUUGGUUUUCAACCUCAGAAGUCUCCAGGGCCCGAUGGAUUACAUCCUUAUUUCUAUCAAAAAUACUGGCCGGAAGUAUGGAGUAAAGUUAGUUCCUUCUACCAACAAAUAUUCUCUACUAAUAGAAUGCCUCAGGAGUUAAAUCAAACUUUCAUCUGCCUAAUUCCUAAAGUUCCACAUCCUAGUACUAUUCAGCAAUAUCGUCCUAUAAGCUUAUGUAAUACUAUUUAUAAAUUAAGUACAAAAAUUAUUGCUAAACGGCUUCAGCCUUUAAUUGCUAAUAUUAUAGGACCUACUCAAUCUAGCUUCCAGCAAGGUAAACGAGCCUCUGAUAAUGCAAUUAUCAUGCAAGAGGUUCUACAUUAUCUCAGGCUUACGAAAGGGAAAUCUUCUUAUAUGCUUCUUAAACUAGACUUAGAAAAGGCGUUCAACAUAAUAGAAUGGUCCUUUCUUAGAAGAACAUUACAGUUUUUUAAUAUACCCUUCUCACAUGAUAUCAUUAAUUAUGUCAUGCGUUACAACUUCGUCAAUCUCUAUCUUAAUUAACGAUCUAGAACACCUUUUUUCUAUCCGUCUAGAGGGCUACGUAAGGGUGACCUCUCUCACCUUACCUUUUCAUUCUAUGUAUGAAAAUGCUCUCUCGAAGCAUCUCCUUGUCAGCAGAUUACUUACAAUCGAAACCUAUUAGUAUAGCAAAGAAAGGUCGUCAACUUUCACACCUUCUAUUUGCCGAUGAUAUUGUGCUAAUGUCAAAAAUAACUACUACAAGUUGUCAUGCUAUAGUAGCUGUGCUAAAUCACUUUACAACUCAAUCUGGGGAAAAGAUUAACUAUGAAAAAUCAAAGGUUUUCUUCUCCAACAAUUGCACGCUGGCUAAUAAGAAUUUUAUUAAAAAUACCUUAUCUAUUAAAGAAGGAACCUCUUUUGGGAGAUAUUUAGGAUUUCCUAUGUUCACUGGUAGACCAAGAAGGAAGACUUCCAAUUUCUAUUGGACAACUUUAAAAAUAGACUAGCAGGAUGGAAGACGAAUUUUUUAACGCUAUCAGGAAGAGCAACCCUUAUCAAGUCUACUUUGAACAAUCUCCCAAACCAUGUCACGUAAUAUAUCACAAUUCCUAAACAAAUAAUUAAAAAGAUUGGAGCAAUAUCAACGCAAUUUCUUAUGGGGCUCUACGAUGGAAAAAAAGAAACUACACCUUCUCAACUGGAAGGUAAUAACGAGUACAAAAAUAAAUGGGGGAUUGAGGAUCCAAAAACUAGAGCUAAAGAAUAAAUACCUACAUUCAGGACUUGCUUGGAGAAUUUUUAAAAAACUUCAAGCUAUGUAGGCACAAGUCCUUAUUAAUAAGUAUUUCUUCCUCAUACACGUUAAAAACUUGGCUAAAUAUCCUCAACGGCUGGAACAAUUGUCAAAAGGGACUACAAUGGAAAAUAAGCGAUGGCAGAAGGAUAAAUAUCUGGUAUGAACCUUGGAUAAAGCCGGGAAUUACACUCUGUUCCCAAAAUAUAUGGACCUUUACCUCUUCAAGAAUCAAAUUUAACUAUUGCCAAGGUACUCACUCCAUUAGGUUGGAAUAAGAAUCACUUUAGUUUUAAUAUUCCUAGUAAGAUGCAUCAUCUUAUGGACUCUACAUAUAUUUCCCUCUUUAAUAACUCUUCUGACUUUCUUUUUUGGGGAUUAACCAAUAAUAAUAAGUUUACUAUUAAUUCUAUUUACAAGAAGCUCGCUGAGAAUGGUGCUUUGCGAGAUAAUAAUGAUUAUAAUUUUAGUUGGAUUUGGCGUCUUCUUGUCCAUCCGAAGAUUAAAAGCUUCAUGUGGCUUAUUUGUCAUAACCGCCUGCCAACAAAUAAGUACUUAAAACAUUUUAACAUCACUGUAGAUGCUAGCUGCCAAUUCUGCCAUGCUCCAGAAGAAUCUGGGCUUCAUAUUUUCAUCACUUGUAUUAAUGCUCAACAAUUCUGGACGCAACUAGGGUUAGCUUCAACCGUUAAUUCGCUUAAUCAUGCACUAGAUAUACAUACUUUAAUCCAUCAACUUUUAUUUAAUAUUAACAAUAGCUUGCCUUUGUACAUACAACCCCUUACUUAUCUUCCAUAUGAUUUGUGUAAUAUUUAGUUAACGCGUAAUGAUAACCUAUGCCAUCAUAAGAAAAAUUGUAUCCCUUAUAAAUUAUUUACUACGCAGACUGUAGAAUUCAUCUAUAUAGCCUCCUUUCAUUUAAAAAAGACCAGCAAUAAGGCGUUAACUAAGAAUAUUAAAUGGUACCCGCCUCCGGAUAAUUUCUAUAAGCUUAAUAUGGACGGGGCCUACUCAAACACAUCAGCAGGAAUAUGAGGAGUCAUUAGGAACUCUAGAGCAGAAUGGGUUACAGGAUUUUCUGGAUCAGUACCACAUGUGUCCUCUAUUUUAUCAGAAUUAUACGCUUUAUUAAUAGGUCUAAAGCUUGCUCAUCAACACAAUCUUACACCUCUAGAAAUAGAGGUGGAUGCACAAAACCUGCUGGUACUACUUAAUUCAGAUUGCAGGUACUACCUGGACCAGCUAGGUAAGCCGACAAUCAAACAUGCGUACAAACAUCAGAAUAGGGUGGCAGAUAGUAUGGCAAAGGAAGGCCACAAUUUUGGAAGUGCAUGCUGGCCAACAGUUUUUAUCACUGUCCCUGAUUUUGCUAAGAUUUGUUUUGCUUCAGAUCAGGCUGCUUUGCUUGGGUCUUCAUCAAGCCUAGUAAAUAUUUGUAACAAUAGUGCUCGGAUUGUAUUUAGCAAUAGGUGUGAACUAGCCUGUCAUGAUGAUAAUUCCAAUAGGAUGACCAUGGCAAGUAAUGCUACUUGUAUUAGCUCUGUACUCAUUUAGUAUAUAUAUAUAUUAUCUUUCCCACCAAAAAAAAACUUUAUUUUCUUCUUUAAGUCAUUAAAGUACUUAUUUUGCCCAAUUAAAUUGAAUCCCUUCCACUUCCUUAUUUAAUAUUCAUAAUUAAUGUAUAUGAUGAAAGAUGUAAUUCAAUUCCAAAAUUUCUCUUCUUCCCUUAUUUAAACUCAUAACAGUAAUUGUGUAGGAAAAAUAUUUUAUAAUGGAAAUUGUACUAAAAUUAGGACGAAUGUCCAAAAAAAAACAAGAAAAAGAUAAAUAAGAAUGAUGGCUUUAGAGGAGUGCCAUAUCAUCUUGCCAAAUCCCAACUUUAUAUUUAUAUAGAGAUAGAUUGGGCCUGAGGCGAUAGCUUGUGCGCGCGCACACACAUAUAUAUUUACAGGUUGAUAAUUCUGCUUGCUAGGACAUCUCGUAUCAGCUAUUGGUGAGCCCCAGUCUUUCGGGGCAUUAUCCAUCUUUUUUUAGUCAUUAUAGUAUUUCCGUUAAUAAGGUAUACCUGGGACCUUGUCCCAAUAAACAAUUAGCAUUUUUCAGUAUACUUUAAAGGCUUCGGAAACUAUAACCCAAUCAGUUAGAUAUUAGCAAGCUUUUAUGUGUUAGCUUUGUCUUACUGUCCACGUUGCUCUAGUUUAGCAUAUCUCAAGUGUUAGCCGGAAUUUAAAACCAAUUUGACCUUCUUGUGAUUUCGUAUAGACUCAAUUUUGAGUUUGCCCUAACCUUUUCAAUGCACAAAAAGUUAUCCCGGUGGACAAUGCUUCUAUAUUGAUAAAACACGAGGAAAACUAUGUGGAAGAAACGCAAGUGAGGUCUGUACACUUGAAAAUCAGGAUGAGAAUUUAGGUUAACCACAAAAUUGAAAAAAAUGGCACCUUUUAAAGUUUUUAUACAAAGGGCCGAGGAAUAUGAAAGGGGAUUACUAGCUACAACAGUAACAACAAAUCAAGUAUAGUCUAACAAGUGGGAUCUGGAGAAGGUAGCGAGUAUUCAAUCUUAUUCCUACCUUGUGCAUGUAAAGAUACUGUUUCCAAUAGAUCCUCGGCUCAAAGACAUAAAAUUCAAACCUACUGAGCUACUAUGAUCCCCAAAAUGCACUUAACAUUUCAUAAAAAGAAACACAUGAACAAAAGUUGCAUCCUCCUUGGUCCCUCCCUAGGAUCACGUUAUGACACCAAGUAAUCACUUUAAACGGUUGGUAUUAAGAAAUUAACCACCUGUCCUGAAUUUCAGAGCAAAAAAGUUCUGUUAUUUUAAAUUAAGAUUUUUAGUUUAAACUUUCUGAACAGAAUAAGUACCGACUAAUUCUUUAAGUAGCAUCCUGAGAAUGUUGCACAUGCCCCGGGAGAUAGGUAUUCCUUCACUGUAUAUUUACGAGUCCUUUCUAGAGCUCCUUUUAGUCAAGUUGACCCUUCUGACAUGAUACUCGAGAUGUUUUCCAACUUCAAGAACUAAAACUAGGAGAGUAUUACUUUACUAAACACACCUAGAUAUGCAAAAGGAAAUCGAGAUAUCAUCACUUGGCUCUGUAGACAGGAAAGAUAUCUUUGUCCAAAAUCUUGUGAAUUGAAUCAAAAUAAUCACUAGUCAUAUUGAAAGUGAAUCCAUGCCUAUAUAGGAGUUACAGGCAGAAAGAAACCACCACUUGUUUAAAGUGUGUUACACAGUCGACACUAUUAAGCAUAUCAUCAAUCUAUAACACAAGGAUAUCAAGAUGAACUAUACAGGGGUAAACUGGCAGGAAAACAAAAGGGAAAAAGGAUCCAAUAACACAGCUAAAUGAACCAAGUAUAAGAUGCAGAAAAAACUGUUCACAACAAUUGUCAUCUGUUUGACUGUUACUUAGCAGCACUACAUAAGACAAAGGGAGGAAAAAGGAAAGAAAAACCAACUAUAUAACCUGUCACAAUUUACUCCUAUCCAUGAACCUGCUAUUCAUGCAUAUGUACAGCUUUGAAAUGUCGCUGAUUAAUAUUCAAAUAAAUGUUGAUUGAGUUUGCAUGCUAUUAUCAAGACCUUCUUACUCUUUUAUCGGCAUGCUGUAAAGAACUGUCAGUAGGAAGUGAACUAGACUGUGGCCUUGGAGCUGGAUUAAAGGUGAAUCCUGUCAAAUAACUAGGACCAGUUUGAGAGGGUAUAGGGGGUGGCACUUUGGAAUUGGCAGGCAGAUGGUAUAGUGGAGGAGAUGGUCGGGAAGGAAUACCACUAUGCAUUGUGGUGGAAGAUGGAUAAGGGUACACUGAUCCGGUGGGCAAAGGUGGCAACUUUCUUGAGGUUGAGGUUGAAGAUUCAGGGGGAAAGUUUCCUGGUUCAUUUCUUCUUUCAUCCUGAGCAUCUGGUGGCAACCAUUCAGGCAUAUCAUCAUCACAAAAUAAACUCUUCUUGCCAGAGUUAUCAAGCGGAAUCAGUGGUAAACCAGAGGCGGAAACUGUAACUGCCAGUGGACCACCAAUGGACUUUGGAUGUCCGUGGUCAGGGACAUUUUUAGCUAGGGGCAUACUUUGACUGACAGAUGAUAUUGACCUAGGAAUACUCAUGGAAACUGAGGGUGGUAUAGGUAUGAUUGUUUGUUUAGACAUAUCUAGAAUCCUACUUCCAGAAAGUUGAAGUCGAUUGUCAAGAAUGGGUCCAUCAGAACGGUGGGAACUUGAAGAUAUUCCACUAGCAGUUCCAAAGUCAAAUUCAGGGAGAUCGUCAUCUUCUGAAAAAGCCACUUUUGGUUUUGAUGCAUCGGGCAGCAGUGAUGUUACAGCUUUUGGGAGGUCCGUACUUUCCUUGGGUGGUUCUGAGAAGUGCCCCUUAGAUCCCCAAAGAUGCGAGCUGGACAGCUCAGAUUCUUUUUGCUGAAAAGUGGGUGACUUCACACCGGAAGUUGUUAAGGUUGUCCUGCUUGAGGAAUCAAUACCAACGUUCUUGUCAUCAGUAAUGUUUGCUUGUUCAAGCGUUGAGAAAGUGCUGAGUGGGGCAGAUGGUUUUGAGCUCUCAACUGAUGGCACAGAUAAAGAACCUUGUCCUCCACCUUGCAACGUAGAAGAAUCAGAUGGUGACUUUUGAAGCUGUUCCUGUGAGGAAUUAGCCUUUCCCUCAGAUUUUUUAGCAACAGAAGUCAAAGUUGUUCGAUUCUUCCGCCAUACAACACAACCAAUCAUCAACUCAGAGUUUCCUUCCACUGCUGCCAUUCCCUUAAAGAAACCAUAUUUUGCAAGAAUAGUGAUAAUUGCAUCGCUCCGAGGACAAAGGUAAAGAUCAACACCUGGAGAGAGUUGUGCAAACCCGACUCUCUCACCUUUUAUAUAUCCUUUUGCAACCUAAUGGAGAUAAAACUACCUUAAGCAGGGGAACAUUUAUAAACUAUCAAUAUGCUUCACUUAGUGGUAUAGAUAUAUACCUCUUUCAUGCCCUUGAGUCCUUUCCCAGAAGAUCCCUCCUUGAAGCAAAGAGAAAUUACCUGAAUACAGAAAUUUUUACUUAUACUAACCAAAACAAUGUUUUAGUGAAGAAAACUUUUUCAUAAGUACUGAAAAAUCUAAAGCUUGUUCACUUGGAUGAACUCAAAAAUUAAGAAUCUGAACACUCAUAUUCCAUUAAGAGUCACAACCACCUGUCAAUAUGAAUCUGACUAUUACAGCCAAUAAGUCUGAAUCAUCUGAUUACUAAGGCCUUUUCUGCACCAAAGGCCUUGUAAGGCCUUUUAACAUGGUGGGAAUUUUACCUCCCAACUGGACAUCAAAAGCAUGCAGAAUGAUUAUGAGAGAUCAAAAGGAUUUGAGUCUGACUGUUGUAGGUUCAACAUUCUGGUACCAGAUGAUAUAACUAUGCCUCAAUUGGCUGUGCAAAACAGAUGUGAGUCUGACUGUUGUAGGUUCAACAUUCUGGUGCCAGAUGAUAGAACUAUGCCUCAAUUGGCGAACAGAUGUUAUGUGUUUGUAGCAGCCAGAAUCUAACAGACAUCUCUUUCUUCACCACCCAGUUGCAGCAGAUAUCUGGUAUAUGUCCUUUGCCAUCUUUGGUUUACGCUGGGUCAUGCCUCAAAACAUUAAGGAUGCCUAUGAAAGCUGGUCUUCAUGGAAAGUUGAUAACUUCAUCAGUAAAGUCUGGCGGAUGAUCCCUUCUUGUAUUUUGUGGUGUGUUUAAACAGAAAAGAAGCACAGAUGUUCAGAUGGGAUAUGAACUCCUACAUAUGCACUUAAGGCUAGAUGUUAUGGUUAUAUAGUUGGCAGCACUUAGCUCCUGUUAUUUGCCCUAUUAAUUUUUUGGACUUCGUCAGCUCCUUAGCUUUAGCCUUGUUUUUGUCUGUGGAACUGACUGUCUGUCUUUAUGGAUAUCUCUUUUGUACUUCUUGCAUCUUCCUGAUACCUUUAACGCAAUUCUCUUACUUCAUAAAGAAAUUGAUACAGUUAUGCCUCAACUCCAAGCAAGUUACAGUUAGUUAUAUGAAUCCCCACUGUCCACGUCACUCCAUUUAAGCCCGUUGAGUACAAUAUUAUAAAAAAUUAGUUUCUCUAGCAUUAGAAGUUCUCUACAUUUUCUUUUCUUUUUUUAUUGGUAGUUUCUCUAGAUUUUCUAAAGACCUAUAAAUAUUUUACAAGACGUAGGCUCAUAGAAAUAUUAGACCCAAAAUAAACACAUUAAACAUGAUUAAAACUUAACUCCAACUCAUUGGUAUAAUCUAUAUAGAUCUUUUUUCUCUAUUGCACCCUUCGUUAUACUUCAGUUCCACUAUCACCCCCGACCUUACAAAUGGUGCAAAAGUACCAAUCAGCAUACUUCAGUUCCACUAUCACCCCCGACCUUACAAAUGGUACAAAAGUACCCCUCCUCCGUUAAGACCCUCUCAUGUGGCAAAUACCAUCCCAUGUGGCCUGACAUUUCGCUUAAGUGAACGCCAUGUGGCAAUGCCACCUCACCACCUCCAAGGCUCCAACCCAAUUGUAUCCCCUUCCCCACUACUUCUAGCCUUCUUUCAAGUUUCACCACCACCUCUUUAACACUCCUCAAAUUUAUAAAAGUUUCGAGACACGCUAAUUAUAGCUAAAUUAUUACUAUUUUAUUAUGUUUAUCAUGCAUAUAUAUAUAUAUAUAUAUAUAGGCCCCUAGAGACUAUGUACAAAUAAUUGGAUAUACAUUAGGAAAAUAUUAAUAAUUUUAUUAUUAUUAAUUAUUAAAAGUAGGUAUCAUUAAUUAUUAGUUAAGUUAAUUAAAAAAAGGAAAAAGGACCUAAAAGCCCAUAAAAGGGCUAUUGGGAAACAAAAGGCUCCAAGCCUUAAGAGAAACAAAACCCACGUUCUGAUUCAUCAAAAAGGGCGGAAGGCUUUUGCCUUAGACGAAAAGUAGAACAGUACGAAAUAAAGGCUUCUUAUCAUGCAGGCAACGGAAAAUCUAGGGUUCUUUACAAAUCACUAAUUCUCGAACACAUGUAUAUAAAAUUCCCUUACUGUCAAUAACCCUACAGUAGUAAUAGGUAAGAACUGAAUAGUUAUUCUCUUCUUUCUCUAUGUCAACAGUAAAGUUCCGUGUUUAGGUACGAAAUUUUAAAAUUUAUUAAAAUGCACUGGUUGUUGUAGAAUCCAUUGUUUGACUGGUGUAAAUUGGCCUAGGGCCUACAUAUUGGCUCAGAAAUUCUGAGGUGAGUUGAUAUAACCCUUUACUAAAGUGGUUUAACUCACAAAAGCAUGCAUAAAAAGUGUUUGAUGAAUUGCAUAGAAGAGUUGAUAUAUACUUAGUUGGAGUAAGUAAGAACCUAUUAGCUUAGAACUAUUUUCUAGCUAAAGUUUAGAUGAUUAUUUUAUAAUAUGUGCAUAAAUUCUCAGAUUUUGUGUUAUUCUUAUAUGCCAUUAUCAUGUUGAAAAUUCAUGAAGGAGCAAGAAUCUUUAUAAAUGCUUUUGAAUGUUUAUUUCAUUUUUAUGUCAUGCCUUACAUUUAAGGAUACCGGUAUGGUUAUGUGUAAAAGAUUUAGACUUGAAAAGUCACAAGAAGAAGUUUUAGAAAGAAAAGAUUUUUGGGAGUAUCUAGUUUCUAUGAACACUCUUUCUCAUGUUGGAGAUGCAAGUAAUGAGAUGGUAUUUGAACAGUGCUUCAUAAUUAUUCCUCGAGAUGAAGGGGUCAUCGUCCAAGCCGAGGGUCCUGACCAAGGCGUGACUUCCUGAAACUACUUGUGCCAAAGUAGGGAGCACACAAGCCGAGGGUUUCGUUGCUGAGAAUUUACUUAGCCACGCUAAACUAUGAUACAUGAGCGCUGAGAACCAUGAAGCGAGUGGCACCUCGUGGAUUGGGCCUAUUCGAUCAGGUUGGGAUCGAACCCGUGCCGAUUGACCGAGACAGAAUUAAGUCAGGAUAGUUGGAACUCCCAAAGUAUAAAGAGAAGUAUUUUUUUGAAAAAGAAAAGGAUUUCUUUUAGAAUAUUCAUAAAUUGCUAGUGUGCAAUUAUUUUAAAAUUAUUCUUAUAAGCUUUAUGUUUUACAUGCAUUUAGAACCAUUGCUCGUAAUGUAUCUGUUAGUAAAGUUUCGCCCCCUGUUGUUGAAACUCACUUAGUAUAGUGGAUGGUACUGACGUUCUCUUUUGGAAGCCUACGUUGGUCUGCGGUACAACGUACGAACCGGUUUUGCAGGUGAGCAGGCUACGGGUUAGGACUUCCUUCUCUUCCAGUGCUAUUGGUGAGCUCUACUUUUGUUCGUGGAAUAUUCCUUUGAGUCAUCUUUAUUUAGUUAUUUCUUUGUUUACUUAGAGAACUGACCAGAAAAUCUCAUGUCCUGAGCAGUGCCUCAGUUUAUCAGUAGAGGCUUCAUAGACAUAGUCAUUAGGUUAAGAUUCAGAUGUUUUUGAUAAUAACUUAGCAGUAAUUCAAUAGUUACUACGACUAAAGUUUUGGAGUUGAUUUAUUUAAAUAUUUAAAUUAAUCAAAAGUAUUUGGUUGGAGUAUUGCCUUGUUACCUAUAAAGUUUGGAGUUAUAAUAGAUUUGAUAAGCAGAGAUGGUUCGCUCGGUCAUGUUUAGAGAUCGAGUGCCGGUCCCAGCGAUAAAGUUUGGAAUUAUAAUAGAUUUGAUAAGCAUAGAUGGUUCGCUCGGUCAUGUUUAGUGAUCGAGUGCCGGUCCCGCCUUGUUUAGAAAAUGGGUCGGGACAACCUCCCCCUUUACCCGACCACCACCUCUACUAUUACGUCCUUAAAUUUCAUCCAACCAUUACAUUCACAGUGAAAACUCCCAAUUUAGCACUCCUCUCUGUAAUCACAAAAACCUAUCAUCAUUACUUUACCAAAAAUUAACUGACUUCGACAUUUUGACAAAACAGUGGAGUCAUUUUAAAGAUCUUGAACGAACUUAUUUUUGAAAACGGACUAAAAAGUAGGAACUUACGACUCCAGAUAAAAGAUGAUUCAUGACAUGUGCCUCUAAAUUGCGAAGCAUUUCUAGUAUUUUAUAUACUCUGUAUCUGUAUAUAAGCACUCUUUUAACAACUACCAGCAGUUUCAUCCUCCAAAAUUUUAGGAGCAACAACUUCAGUUGAUUUUUUCAAGAUUCAUCACCUGUCAAGAUGCAAAAAUUCAUUCCUAGAAGGAUGGUGCUGGGAAGGAAUCAUUCCUUGUUCAGUCAUCAACCCAGUUCCUCAGUUGCACAAUCUGCCUUUUCAACAAGAUGACAUCUUCCAUCUUAAAAAGCCCGUAAGCAUCAGUUACUAUAGAAUCAAGAUUCUUUUUCAUUUGGGCUUAAUUCUGAUGCAUUAAUUGCUGUUUUUUGUUGUAAUCUUGAACGUUUGUUUGUUGCCUUUGUGACAAGUUGAAUUUGGAGAUCUAAAGAUGCAAUACUUGUUUGACGAGAAUGGGCAGAGAUAUUUUGAUUCAUUAGGAUGAGGGGGUUGGAGGUGGUGAGGUGAUAUGCCACGUGACGUCACUUCAGCAAAAUAUCAGGCCACAUGGAUGAUGUUUGCCACAUUGGAGGGUCCUAACAUAAGGGGCUUCUCGCCUUUCCUCGCUUCACGCUCUUCACAGCACUGAUUCUGCCUAGUUUCUAUGAACACUCUUUCUCAUGUUGGAGAUGCAAGUAAUGAGAUGGUAUUUGAACAGUGCUUCAUAAUUAUUCCUCGAGAUAAAAAGAAGACCAUGUGAUCAUCCAGUGAUUAAUAUCGUGUAGUUAACUUAUAAUAUACAGCGAUACAUGUAGGGAAAGAUGAUACUCCCGCUAUCCCAAAGUCAAAAUCCUAGUUGACUUUCAUGGUCAACAUUAGACUCUAUUAUAAUCAAACAAUUUAUUACUCUAUUUAGUCUUUCUUUCCUCAACUAACAGUUCACGACUCCCUGUGUCUCAAACAUGUUAAUUACUGGAACUCUUUUCUUUAACUGAGAGCAUAUGAAAGAUUACUUCAAGUAGGACAGGUUUAGUUUGAUAGUGUGCAAGAGAAGGAGAAAUCUGAGAAACAAUUGCACAUCAUUGAAGGAACAUUGGUUGUAUCUAGCUAAUUUGAUUGAAGAAGCAGAGUUAAACUUUGGAAGUAAUGACUGGCCACUGCUGUUUAUACUGCUCUUGGUGGUAGUGCAACUACUGCUGUAUUUGUAUUAAUAAAAAAUUGUACAAGAGGAACGCCUUAUUUCCUGUGGAACUUCAGAUAAUUUUGUUGACUUGCCAUUGUCCGGCCUUAUUUGGAGGAGUAAAUGAUCCAAACAAAUUCAAGAAGCCUAUCAAAGACAGCUUGUAACAGAUCAAGUUCUCUGGAGUACAAAGUCGGAUUAAGUUACUUAUUAGUGUCAGGCUGUCAGUUGAACAAGCUUUGAAAUUCAAAGUCUUCUGCAUUUGAAUGGUUAGCGGUUGGCCAUCUUGCCGAAAAUAAUUUGACAAGUUCAAAAUACAAAGUUAUUUAUUUUUCACUUAUCAAGCUUUACAUAAGAGGUCUCUGAGAAGUCAACUUGUCUUCCAUUUCCACUUACUUUAACAUUGUUUUGAUAGUUCAUAAUAUUUAAGACCGGGGAUCUCUAGAUUUAUCACUGCUUUCUUUUCUCAAAUUAUCUGUGUUUAAUUUUUUAGAAUGACUUUUUUUGUAAAACUCAGCCUGAACAAAAUCCCAAUACAGGAAAAAUUGCAAAUGUCUCGUAGGCAAAUUAGUAAUGCAGGUUUCUAGUAAUUAUGCAGCAAUGAGCUUUCUCCACUUAAUCUACGUGCGGAUAAGACCAGCUUUGGGCUGUGUUGCUCACUGAUUAUGACAGGCUUCAACAGAUUUCUCAAAUCAGCAGAAUGACCAAUAAAUCAAUAAGCACCAUUUCCAACAUUAACAAAUAAAGCGUAAAAGCUAAGGUAUGAUUUGUUAAUCAAUUCAAACAACUCCAACAAUUAACAUUUUCAUCCCUCAAUUCUCAAGAAUAUGCACCUAAUUCCAGCAGAUACUCUAUGAUUUGGCAAGGAAAUCCUCAUGGAUAAAUGGAUCAAUGUCCUAUUAGGUAUGCCAUAAAAAGUUUCUUGGGAAAUAUUCCUCUAUAAAAGUCAUUUUUCUAUGCUGGUUUGUGUAAAGCAAUUGAAAAGGUUCUUCAAAAAAUAUUUACAUUAAAUUGAAGAAAAUCAUUUACCUCCUUUACAAACCAUUUGUCAAUCCCAAGUGGGGUCCAUAUAUAAAUCAUCUAUAUCCAUUGUGCUCAAUUUGGGCACGUUUCAUUACAACAACAACAACAACAACAACAACAAUCCAGUAUAAUCCCACUUAGUGGGGUCCGGGGAGGGUAGUAUGUACGCAGACCUUACCCCUAUCAUUGGGUAGAGAGGCUGUUUCCAAAUAGACCCCCAGCAUCCUUCCCUCCAAGAACUUCCCACNNNNNNNNNNNNNNNNNNNNNNNNNNNNNNNNNNNNNNNNNNNNNNNNNNNNNNNNNNNNNNNNNNNNNNNNNNNNNNNNNNNNNNNNNNNNNNNNNNNNNNNNNNNNNNNNNNNNNNNNNNNNNNNNNNNNNNNNNNNNNNNNNNNNNNNNNNNNNNNNNNNNNNNNNNNNNNNNNNNNNNNNNNNNNNNNNNNNNNNNNNNNNNNNNNNNNNNNNNNNNNNNNNNNNNNNNNNNNNNNNNNNNNNNNNNNNNNNNNNNNNNNNNNNNNNNNNNNNNNNNNNNNNNNNNNNNNNNNNNNNNNNNNNNNNNNCCUUCCCUCCAAGAACUUCCCACCUUGCUCUUGGGGAGACUCGAACUCACAACCUCUCGGUUGGAAGUGGGGGUUGC
rnacentral:lncRNA from 1 species